AGUCAUAUGCUUGUCUCAAUGAUUAAGCCAUGCAUGUCUCAGUUUAAGAUUCAAUACUGCGAAGCUGCGAAUGGCUCAUUAAAACAGUUAUAGUUCAUUUGGUGGUCGGAAAUUAUUUGGAUACCUGUGUCAAUUCUAGAGCUAAUACAUGUAUAUUUCCCAACUGUUUUGACGGGUUGUGCUUAUUAGAUAUCGAACCAACUUCCUUCGGGAUAUUCAGUUGAUUCAUAGUAGUCCAACGAAUCACCGUCUAGGAGUGGAUAGCCCUUUCGAGUUUCUGACCUAUCAGCUUUCGAUGGUAGGGUAUUGGCCUACCGUGGCUUUGACGGGUGACGGAGAAUUAGGGUUUGAUUCCGGAGAGGGAGCCCGAGAAACGGCUGCCACAUCUAAGGAAGGCAGCAGGCGCGUAAAUUACCCAAUCCUGACACAGGGAGGUAGUGACAAGAAAUACCAAUACAAGACCCUUUGUCUUGUAAUUGGAAUGGGUGUAUUGUAAACGACGUCACGAGUAUCGAU
rnacentral:rRNA from 1 species